UGGUACAUCCAUAUUCUAAAAUUCCUAGAUCCGACUUGGUACAUAUAACUUAUUUACCAAAAAAGUUACUACCUAUUUACCAACAACAUUAGAAUAAACUGUCGCAGUAGAACGUAAAAAACAUAUCUAAAUUAAUUCUGUCAUAAUAUAAUUAACACCAAAUUAGAUAUAUCGUACAAUAUAUUUACAGAAGAAACAAAAAUGACAACUACAAUGACACAAAGAAUGAUGCUUCUCCAGUUUCUAGAGUUGUCUGGAUUCUCCAUCAAACAAUUAAUUCAUUAUUGGGGAAGAUUCUGGAAGGAACAGCAAAACGAGCGGAAAAUGAUCUAGAAAGUUCCUGAGCGUCAGCCAAAACGAAUGAGCCCUGAUCGAAAUUCUGUGAAUAAGAAUGGGAAUCAUAAGUAAACCGCAUUGAUUUGGACUUGGAGCGUUCAAAAAUUUUCUUCUUCUCUUUUUUCAUCUUUCUCCAUAGCAAUCUCCAGAUUGCCGGUGCUUUGUUCGAUCUGUUAACGGCCGGCAAUUUAUACGAUACGAAACGUUUGUACUCUCUACCGGAGUAGCUCCGCCGACAGCAGAUGCUAAUUCCAUUGUCUAAAUCAUCCAUUAGAGUACUCAGUGGAGAAACAGUGUGUUAGUUUGUGAUCUGAAAGUUGAAUUGAGACUCUGAGUUUUUGUGGUUGUUGAGAUUUUAGAGUGUGGAAAUGCAUGGGGGAACAUAGGAGCGGACAAAACUUAUAUAGGCGAAAAAGAUUGACUCAUUUGUCAUGCAGAGUGAUGCAAUUAAACUUAAGACGGUUGACUCGGAAACUAAUGGAUUGGCCUAGGGUAGAAAAAGAAUGGCUAUGAUUUUAGCCAACUCAGAUCACCAACAUUGCCAUACCGCUACUUGUGCAAGGAUUUGAGCUGACAAUAAUCAAGCUAGGUUGGUGGAGGCGGAAGUGCGUGGUCUUUGAAGAUAAGUUUUUUCUUUUCCUUCUUCCAACCUUUUGCAAAGAAGAUCGGGGCAAGUGCACUGAUAAUAGGUUACAUACAAUAAAAGAAGGCUAUGGAGUACUUUUGAGAUCAAUUAUGGAGGAAAAGAGGCCAAUCGCACAACAUCCGCCAAGUGCACCAUGCGAAACGCACAAAACCAGAACUGGAGAUGGACUGCCGCGGUCCCGGCAUAACCGCGGUCGGACCGCGGCAGGAAGGUGUUGCGGAUUCUGAGAGGUCAUUUGGUCGCGGUCCUGGCGUAACCGCGGUGGGACCGCGGCAGGACGCGUAAAUUUCAGGGACUAAAGUGCAAAAC